rnacentral:rRNA from 1 species
GAUGAACGCCGGCGGCGUGCCUAAUACAUGCAAGUCGAGCGAACGGACGAGAAGCUUGCUUUUCUGAUGUUAGCGGCGGACGGGUGAGUAACACGUGGAUAACCUACCUAUAAGACUGGGAUAACUUCGGGAAACCGGAGCUAAUACCGGAUAAUAUUUUGAACCGCAUGGUUCAAAAGUGAAAGACGGUCUUGCUGUCACUUAUAGAUGGAUCCGCGCUGCAUUAGCUAGUUGGUAAGGUAACGGCUUACCAAGGCAACGAUGCAUAGCCGACCUGAGAGGGUGAUCGGCCACACUGGAACUGAGACACGGUCCAGACUCCUACGGGAGGCAGCAGUAGGGAAUCUUCCGCAAUGGGCGAAAGCCUGACGGAGCAACGCCGCGUGAGUGAUGAAGGUCUUCGGAUCGUAAAACUCUGUUAUUAGGGAAGAACAUAUGUGUAAGUAACCGUGCACAUCUUGACGGUACCUAAUCAGAAAGCCACGGCUAACUACGUG